rnacentral:lncRNA from 1 species
GCUGGUGGCUGUUGCACAUAAAUUUAAUUUGUAAUUAACGCCAAUAACAAUUAAAACAUGUAAUUAACAAUGCUAAUUAUCUAACGAAGGCUCUGUUAUUACUAUUGGGUUUUUCAAAACACAUAUACGUAGUAGAAACAGUAAAUUUAAAUUUUUUUCACGAGUCUCAAAGAUCCUAUUAGACAGAUCUACAGUUGUUUAGGGUUUAUG